UACAGUAAAAGCUGGGGAGGUGUGUAGGGCUCCAGUCUUUGGGUUCACAGCUUGGCUCUACAUUCAUUGCUGGAGGAAUCCAAGCCUCACAAAAGACCGCUUUUAAAGAAAAACUCUAUUUUUCUUAGAAGAACUAGAAUAUGUAACACCAUUGUGAGAAAUAAAACCCCAAGGUGAACAAGAUUGAAAGUGAAGGCAGCGCUCUAAGGAGGAAGCCAGCUGGCUUGAAUGGUGAUGUAAACAGCCUUGGAGCUUUAACCAAACUUGAGUAAGAACUCCCUGACUUGGAAACACUCAAGUUUCCCACACAUGACUGGAUGGCCCUGGCCACACUGGGAACGGAAUGGGGGCCUCCCAUUGGAACUCAGGGUGGAGGGGGAAGCUCGACCAGCUAUUGUGGCCCCCACUUCCAUUGACAAAGAAACCGUCAUAACGGCUGUGCCCCCAGCUUUCCCCUACCUCCUGUCUUCUGCCUCCUGAUCAUACCGGUGCUUCCCACGUGGCCCUGCAUGAUGUGGUGGUGAGACUUGCUCUUGGAUGCUGUCAGGAAGUAUCAUCUGACUGCGUUUGCUACCCUGGGGGAGACAAACAAAACUUGAGUGAAGGAAAAUGAGAACUCACCUGAAACCAAGAAGAGUCUUUGGAAAAGGAUUUUUGUGUCCCUUCUAAGAUAAUCAUGA
rnacentral:lncRNA from 10 species